rnacentral:rRNA from 1 species
UACGAAGGGGGCUAGCGUUGUUCGGAUUUAUUGGGCGUAAAGAGCGUGUAGGCGGCCAUACAGGUCAGCUGUGAAAACUCGAGGCUCAACCUCGAGACGUCGGUUGAAACCGUAUGGCUAGAGUCCGGAAGAGGAGAGUGGAAUUCCCGGUGUAGCGGUGAAAUGCGCAGAUAUCGGGAAGAACACCCGUGGCGAAGGCGGCUCUCUGGGACGGUACUGACGCUGAGACGCGAAAGCGUGGGGAGCGAACAGG